GCGGAAACAAUUGUUUCCGUUCACUCCUCACACCACACUCCGUCCGGCAAUGUUCGGACGGUU
rfam:Candidatus Atelocyanobacterium thalassa isolate ALOHA, complete genome.